AUCACCGGCCCCCAACACAUGUUUAAUUAUUUUCAGGAAAUUCUACACAAAUGUUUACGAGUUCACGUUAGUUGCGUUCAGAGUGGCUGACGGGGAGUGUCGUUACGUUAAAAGCAGCGACUGUUUAAUUAAAACACAUUUAAAAAAAAUGCAUCUUUUGGUGUUUCCAAAGAAAAGAAUAAAUUGCCAAUGCCGUCCUUGGACAAAAAUUUUUUACAGUGUUAAAAUGACGACUACAGAUUAGAAAAAACGUCAGCUUAUAAUAUGUGUCCAAAAUGAAGAAGAAAAUAAACGUAGUAAUAUACUUAAAAGCAGAAAGAAACUGUUUUGCUAUCACUAUCACUUCUGUGCUCAAAAAAAUGAAUAACUAAAAUGUAAGUUUUUGUUUAUCUAAUAGUUAGGAAUGUUUCAUUUUAUUUACACUAAUCGUAAGAUGGCUAUCUAUAAAAAUAUACAUUUUAUCUUACAAUUACUAUUAAAUCAAAAGUUUACUACUCAUAAAAUGCAAUUAUAAAAAAAAGAAGUAUGAAACAAGCAUUUGGCUGAUUUGUUCUUUUAAUUAAGUAGAAAUAAAAUCAUAUAAUAAAAAUAAA